rnacentral:rRNA from 1 species
AACGUAGGAGGCGAGCGUUAUCCGGAUUUACUGGGUGUAAAGCGCGAGCAGGCGGUCUUGUAAGUGGUGUGUGAAAGCGCUCUGGCUCAACCGGGCGAGGACAUGCCAGACUGCGAGACUGGAGGCAGGUAGAGGCGAGUGGAAUUCCGGGUGUAGUGGUGAAAUGCGUAGAGAUCCGGAGGAACACCAGUGGCGAAGGCGACUCGCUGGGCCUGACCUGACGCUCAGACGCGAAAGCAUGGGGAGCGAACGGG